rnacentral:tRNA from 1 species
UACUCCAGCCUACCGGAUUCGAACCAGUGACCAUUGGAGGAUUGAUUACACUUUUGAUAGUGUUAUUUAGCAUUCAAUAUGCUACAAUCCAAUGCUCUUCCAUCUGAGCUAAGGCUGG